CUUGGAACAGAAUGUCAAAGAGGGUGAGAAUCCCGUCUUGGACCGGCGGUAGGGCCUGUGUAAAACUCCUUCGACGAGUCGAGUUGUUUGGGAAUGCAGCUCAAAAUGGGUGGUAAAUUUCAUCUAAAGCUAAAUAUUGGCCAGAGACCGAUAGCGCACAAGUAGAGUGAUCGAAAGAUGAAAAGCACUUUGAAAAGAGAGUUAAACAGUAUGUGAAAUUGUUGAAAGGGAAGCGCUUGCAACCAGACUUGCGCGCGGCGGUUCCUCACGCCUUUUGGCGCGGGUACUCCGUCGUGUUCAGGCCAACAUCGGUUUUGAGGGCCAGUCAAAGGCUCUGGGAAUGUACCUACCCACGGGUAGACUUAUAGACCAGGGUGUCAUGUGGCCUCUCGAGACCGAGGAACGCGCUUCGGCUCGGAUGUUGGCGUAAUGGUUGUCAGCGACCCGUCUUGAAACACGGACCAAGGAGUCUAGCAUCUACGCGAGUGUUUGGGUGUCAAACCCGGAACGCGCAAUGAAAGUGAACGGAGGUAGGAAGCUUCGGCUGCACUAUCGACCGAUCCUGAAGUUUACGGAUGGAUUUGAGUAAGAGCGUACAUGCUGGGACCCGAAAGAUGGUGAUCUUCCUGAAUAGGGUGAAGCCAGA
rnacentral:rRNA from 1 species